rnacentral:rRNA from 1 species
UUCUUGUAGGUGAACCUGCGGAGGGAUCAUUA